rnacentral:rRNA from 1 species
CCUACGGGUGACAGCAGUGGGGAAUAUUGGGCAAUGGAGGAAACUCUGACCCAGCAACGCCGCGUGAAUGAUGAAGGUCUUCGGAGGGUAAAGUUCUUUUCUAAGGGAAGAAGAAAGUGACGGUACCGUAGGAAUAAGCCUCGGCUAACUACGGGCCAGCAGCCGCGGGAAUACGUAGGAGGCGAGCGUUAUCCGGAAUGACUGGGCGGAAAGGGUGCGUAGGUGGUUUGGCCAGGUAGUAGCGUAACUCCAAGGCUCAACCUUGGAACUACUACUACAACGUUUGGACUUGAGUGCAGGCGUGGCAACCGCAUUUCCUCGUGUAGCGGUUGAAUGCGUUGAUCUUAGGAGGAACCCCAGUGGCGCAGGCGGGUUGCUAGACUGUAACUGACCCUGAGGCACGAAUGCGUGGGGAGCAACCAGGAUUCGAUACCCCAGUAGUC